rnacentral:rRNA from 1 species
AUUGAACGCUGGCGGCAGGCCUAACACAUGCAAGUCGAGCGGAUGAAGGGAGCUUGCUCCUGGAUUCAGCGGCGGACGGGUGAGUAAUGCCUAGGAAUCUGCCUGGUAGUGGGGGAUAACGUCCGGAAACGGGCGCUAAUACCGCAUACGUCCUGAGGGAGAAAGUGGGGGAUCUUCGGACCUCACGCUAUUAGAUGAGCCUAGGUCGGAUUAGCUAGUUGGUGGGGUAAAGGCCUACCAAGGCGACGAUCCGUAACUGGUCUGAGAGGAUGAUCAGUCACACUGGAACUGAAACACGGUCCAGACUCCUACGGGAGGCAGCAGUGGGGAAUAUUGGACAAUGGGCGAAAGCCUGAUCCAGCCAUGCCGCGUGUGUGAAGAAGGUCUUCGGAUUGUAAAGCACUUUAAGUUGGGAGGAAGGGCAGUAAGUUAAUACCUUGCUGUUUUGACGUUACCAACAGAAUAAGCACCGGCUAACUUCGUG